UUAUACGAGAGUUAUUAUUUUCUCAAGAGGAAAAUCGAAGCUGCUGUUACUAUAAACUCAUGAAACAUUUCCUUUUAAAAAAGUUAACACCGUAACGGAGAGAAUUAACAACAUCGCAAGAUAUAACUCCCAAACGUCGACUUAUCAAAGGUGUGUGGCCGAGUCAAUGGAGCAUUACAACAGGCCGUACCACUUUUGAUGGGGUACUCUGUAAGAUCCACACGCAAGAAAUUGGCCAUGUAAAUAGUUUCUGAUUGGAUUGCAGUGGAAUAGGUCUAGUAAAUCACUAGGAACCACGUGGAUAGAACGUCUAGUAUAGCAUCAGUCUUCUUCUCCUACUAUCUACAGAAAAAUGCCCACAUUUACAAUGUUAUCGACUGUUUGCAGCUUCUAGUUGCAUGUUUUUCUACACGACAGAAAUACAAUUUUCUCAAGAAGCUAAUAAAAAAUGUUGAUAAAAGAUUUAAUAAAAUCGAUCAAUUUAAUU